rnacentral:rRNA from 1 species
GGACUACAGGGGUAUCUAAUCCUGUUUGCUCCCCGCACUUUCGCGCCUCAGCGUCAGUCAUCGGCUCGAAACCCGCCUUCGCCACCGGUGUUCUUCCUGAUAUCUACAGAUUUCACCCCUACACCAGGAAUUCCGGUUCCGCCUCCGUGACUCAAGUUACACAGUUUCCAGCGCAGUCCAUGGGUUGAGCCCAUGCCUUUCACGCCAGACUUACAUAACCGCCUACGCGCCCUUUACGCCCAAUAAUUCCGAACAACGCUCGCCCCUUACGUGUUACCGCGGCUGCUGGCAC